rnacentral:rRNA from 1 species
UACAGGGGGUGCAAACGUUGCUCGGAAUUAUUGGGCGUAAAGCGCGCGUAGGCGGCUACCUAAGUCGGAUGUGAAAGCCCCCUGGCUUAACUGGGGAAGUGCACCCGAAACUGAGUAGCUAGAGUGCGAAAGAGGGUCGCGGAAUUCCCGGUGUAGAGGUGAAAAUUCGUAGAUAUCGGGAGGGACACCGGUGGCGAAGGCGGCGACCUGGGUCGACACUGACGCUGAGGCGCGAAAGCGUGGGGAGCAAACAGG